CGGGCUGUGGCGCAGUCUGGCAGCGCGCUCCGUUCGGGUCGGAGAGGUCCCCAGUUCGAAUCUGGGCAGCCCGA
rnacentral:tRNA from 1 species